rnacentral:rRNA from 1 species
GACGAACGCUGGCGGCGUGCUUAACACAUGCAAGUCGAACGGAAAGGCCCUGCUUUUGUGGGGUGCUCGAGUGGCGAACGGGUGAGUAACACGUGAGUAACCUGCCCUUGACUUUGGGAUAACUUCAGGAAACUGGGGCUAAUACCGGAUAGGAGCUCCUGCUGCAUGGUGGGGGUUGGAAAGUUUCGGCGGUUGGGGAUGGACUCGCGGCUUAUCAGCUUGUUGGUGGGGUAGUGGCUUACCAAGGCUUUGACGGGUAGCCGGCCUGAGAGGGUGACCGGCGACAUUGGGACUGAGAUACGGCCCAGAAUCCUACGGGAGGCAGCAGUGGGGAAUAUUGCACAAUGGGCGGAAGCCUGAUGCAGCAACGCCGCGUGCGGGAUGACGGCCUUCGGGUUGUAAACCGCUUUCGCCUGUGACGAAGCGUGAGUGACGGUAAUGGGUAAAGAAGCACCGGCUAACUACGUG